rnacentral:rRNA from 1 species
GAACUUGAGAUUACGGCUCAGUAACACGUGGAUAACCUGCCCUAUGGUGGAGGAUAACCCCGGGAAACUGGGGAUAAUACUCCAUAAGUCAGGAGUACUGGAAUGUCUCCUAACUGAAAGUUUCGGCGCCAUAGGAUGAAUCUGCGGCCGAUUAGGUAGUUGUUGGGGUAACGGCCCAACAAGCCUGUAAUCGGUACGGGUUGUGGGAGCAAGAGCCCGGAGAUGGAAUCUGAGACACGAUUCCAGGCCCUACGGGGCGCAGCAGGCGCGAAAACUUUACAAUGCAGGAAACUGUGAUAAGGGAACCCCGAGUGCCCGUACACGCGGGCUGUCCCGGUGUUUAAAACACAUCGGAAGAAAGGGCCGGGCAAGACCGGUGCCAGCCGCCGCGGUAAUACCGGCGGCUCGAGUGGUGACCACUUUUAUUGGGCUUAAAGCGUUCGUAGCUUGAUUUUUAAGUCUCUUGGGCAAUCUCACGGCUUAACUGUGAGGCGUCUAAGAGAUACUGGGAAUCUAGGGACCGGGAGAGGUAAGAGGUACUUCAGGGGUAGAAGUGAAAUUCUGUAAUCCUUGAGGGACCACCGAUGGCGAAGGCAUCUUACCAGAACGGCUUCGACAGUGAGGAACGAAAGCUGGGGGAGCGAACGGGAUUAGAUACCCCGGUAGUCCCAGCCGUAAACUAUGCGCGUUAGGUGUGCCUGUAACUACGAGUUACCGGGGUGCCGAAGUGAAAACGUGAAACGUGCCGCCUGGGAAGUACGGUCGCAAGGCUGAAACUUAAAGGAAUUGGCGGGGGAGCACA